rnacentral:rRNA from 1 species
GACGAACGCUGGCGGCGUGCUUAACACAUGCAAGUCGAACGGAAAGGCCCUGCUUUUGUGGGGUGCUCGAGUGGCGAACGGGUGAGUAACACGUGAGUAACCUGCCCUUGACUUUGGGAUAACUUCAGGAAACUGGGGCUAAUACCGGAUAGGAGCUCCUGCUGCAUGGUGGGGGUUGGAAAGUUUCGGCGGUUGGGGAUGGACUCGCGGCUUAUCAGCUUGUUGGUGGGGUAGUGGCUUACCAAGGCUUUGACGGGUCGCCGGCCUGGGAGGGUGACCGGCGACAUUGGGACUGAGGGACGGCCCAGACUCCUACGGGAGGCAACGGUGGGGAAUAUUGUACAAUGGGCGGAAGCCUGUUGCAGAAACGCCGCGUGCGGGAUGACGGCCUUCGGGGUGUAAACCGCUUCCGCCUGUGACGACGCGUGAGUGACGGUAAUGGGUAAAGAAGCACCGGCUAACUACGUG